rnacentral:pre_miRNA from 2 species
UCUUAUGGAUGAGCAAAGAAAGUGGUUUCUUCAGAUGGCAUCUAUAUUCCUGGUGAAGAUGCUGUGAA